AAUCCGUGAAUCAGACACUUUGCAACAAUUCCUUAAAAUGCUCCCAAGCUUCAUAUAAAUUCUCGUAUUCCAGUUGCUUGAAGGAGGUAAGGUCAUUUCUAAGGUC